GACGAACGCUGGCGGCGUGCCUAACACAUGCAAGUCGAGCGGGGAUUUAAGUGGAAGUUCUUCGGAAUGGAGAUUUAAAUUCUAGCGGCGGACGGGUGAGUAACGCGUGAACAAUCUGUCCCGGACAGGGGGAUAACACUUGGAAACAGGUGCUAAUACCGCAUAAGACCACGGCCUCGCAUGGGGCUGAGGUAAAAGGAGCAAUCCGGUUCGGGGUGAGUUCGCGUCCGAUUAGCUAGUUGGUGAGGUAACGGCCCACCAAGGCGACGAUCGGUAGCCGGCCUGAGAGGGUGAACGGCCACAUUGGAACUGAGAGACGGUCCAAACUCCUACGGGAGGCAGCAGUGGGGAAUAUUGGGCAAUGGGCGAAAGCCUGACCCAGCAACGCCGCGUGAGGGAAGAAGGUUUUCGGAGUGUAAACCUCUGUCCUAUGGGACGAAGGAAGUGACGGUACCAUAGGAGGAAGCCCCGGCUAACUACGUG
rnacentral:rRNA from 1 species